CUACUGCAAACCCUAAACUCCAUCGCAACACCGCGUCCCAAAACCCUAAUCGCCCUUCUCUCGAUCUCGACCUUGACCUCUACCUCUCCUCCAUGGCUUCGGUGCGCUUUGCCAUCCUCUCCUCCAUGGCGAUCGGGUUUCUCCUCCUCGCGGCAAGCGCCUCCGCCCAGGCGCCGGGCGCCGCGCCCCGAUCGGCCCCGAUCCCCGCUCCAAAGGUGGCCCCGAUCCCUCCCCCCAGAGCGUCCCCGACGCCGGCCCCGGCACCGUCCGCGGCGACCCCGACCCCGACCCCGACCCCGGCCCCGGUCCCGUCCCCAGCGUCGAAGCCCCCGACCUCGGCUCCGGCCCCCUCCGUCCCCUCNUCCCACCCCCGCCCCCGGCGCCGCGCCCGGAGCCGCCCCGCCUUCCAACAUCGCCUCUCCGCCGUCGGAGGGAGGCAGCAGCGCCGCCUCCGUGCCCGCCGCAGCCGCAAGCUGGGCCACCGUCGUCGCGGUGAUCGCCGCCGCAGCCGCUUUCUAGAUCUACCUGAGAUAGUUUUAUUCUUUCAUUUAGGACUACUCUGUAGUAGCGAAUUGUUUGGAUUUGUUCUUUUUACACUAGUUUAUUCAUUACCAUUGUUUAUACUAUUAUUUUUUUGUUCCCCCUACCCCUUUUUGUGUAUUAGUGGUUUAUGAUUACUAUAGUUAUUCUUUAUUGGUAUUACUAUUGGCGUUAGAUUGUGGUCUCUUCGUAUUAUUAUUAUUUAUUAUUAUUCCGCGAAGUACCUGUGGUUUUGGUUUUGCUUUUUUGAUCACCAUUAGAUCAUCUGGAGAAGUUAAACAAGAACAUUUUAUUUCCCCUUUAAAAUUGGAUUAUGUGUAGCUCUGCAUUUUAUUCCUGUUUCAAUUAGGUUUGAAAAUUUAGAAUGAUAAGCAAAUUUUUUAUUUCUAUUUAUUUUUUAAC
rnacentral:lncRNA from 1 species